UUUACUCUCAGGGUCUGGGCGGAGCCCAGCGCGGUGCCGGGGCCCCGGGCGGGCCCGCGCGGAGGACCCACGCUGUCCAAGUGACAAAGGCGCCGCCCGCCUUCCACGCCCCCCGGCCUCUGUGGGACCCCAAAGGCUCUCUGGGAAACUAGGUGCUGCUCUCAUUAAACGUUCGAGCUGAGUCACUGACACAUUGGGAAACAUGGACUGAUGGUGUAACAGCAAACUGUAGAAAGGGCAUUCAACAAUUUCCCUCACAUCCCAUUGGCUCCAGUGAGCCUAUUGGUCACACCUAUCUCCAAAGGAGACCGGAAGGCAUGGGUUCCGAGGGGAAAACGAAUAUGGGGUAACAGUCCAGGGUCCCCAGCACAGUGUAUUAAGAAGGAGGUACCCUGCGGAAGGUAUUUGCGUGGGGCCAAAGAUACCACACUGCUCUCGGGUCUCUGACUCCCCCAGACACUGGCUCUUUUUGCAUCCAGGUCCUCUGGACCAUUCUCUGUGUCCAGGACAAACUCGGUGCUAUGACUGGCCAGGCCUUGGCAAUGCGCACACGCUCAAGGCCAAGAGGACAGCUUCUAUGACUAAAAGAAAGGAAGCUUGCUGGACUAAAUAAGACAAGAAAUUAAGGAUCUGUCCUCCAAGUACUGAAGGUGAGGCUCAGCUUUCUUCUUCACCAAAAUCAAAGAAGCCUAUGGAAUGUCAAUGGGCUUACAUGCUGUGUUAGCAAAUGUUCAUGAUUUGUUUAUUUUGUACAUGUAAUAAGACUGUUGGCUGGUGUGGUCAGUUUUAAACAGCACAGACAUUGAAACCAGAAGCAUCUGGAUUUAAAAGCAGUUCUACCACUUGUGAAUAAAAAUAAUGUCAUCAUUAC